rnacentral:rRNA from 1 species
GACGGAGGGGGCAAGCGUUGUUCGGAAUCACUGGGCGUAAAGCGCGCGUAGGCGGCCGUGCAGGUUAGGCGUGAAAGGCCCGGGCUCAACCCGGGAAUGGCGCUUAAGACGGCACGGCUGGAGUCCGGGAGAGGGUGGUGGAAUUCCCAGUGUAGAGGUGAAAUUCGUAGAGAUUGGGAGGAACACCAGUGGCGUAGGCGGCCACCUGGCCCGGCACUGACGCUGAAGCGCGAAAGCGUGGGGAGCAAACAGGAUUAGAAACCCCCGUAGUCC